CCUACGGGGGGCAGCAGUGGGGAAUAUUGGACAAUGGGCGAAAGCCUGAUCCAGCCAUGCCGCGUGUGUGAAGAAGGUCUUCGGAUUGUAAAGCACUUUAAGUUGGGAGGAAGGGCAGUUACCUAAUACGUGAUUGUUUUGACGUUACCGACAGAAUAAGCACCGGCUAACUCUGUGCCAGCAGCCGCGGUAAUACAGAGGGUGCAAGCGUUAAUCGGAAUUACUGGGCGUAAAGCGCGCGUAGGUGGUUUGUUAAGUUGGAUGUGAAAUCCCCGGGCUCAACCUGGGAACUGCAUUCAAAACUGACUGACUAGAGUAUGGUAGAGGGUGGUGGAAUUUCCUGUGUAGCGGUGAAAUGCGUAGAUAUAGGAAGGAACACCAGUGGCGAAGGCGACCACCUGGACUGAUACUGACACUGAGGUGCGAAAGCGUGGGGAGCAAACAGGAUUAGAUACCCCAGUAGUC
rnacentral:rRNA from 1 species